rnacentral:rRNA from 1 species
GAUGAACGUUAGCGGGAGGCUUAAUACAUGCAAGUCGAGCGGUAAGUUUUUAUAGCAAUAUGAAGACCUAGAGCGGCGCACGGGUGAGUAACGCGUACACGACCUGGCCUAAACUGGGGGAUAGCCUUGGGAAACUGAGAGUAAUCCCGCAUGUGAUUAUGUUACUGAUGGUGAUAUAAUUAAAGCUUCGGCGGUUUAGGAUGGGUGUGCGUCUGAUUAGCUAGUUGGUAGUGUAACGGACUACCAAGGCGAUGAGUCAGUAGGGGCGUGAGAGCGUGACCCCCCCACACGGGUACUGAGACACGGACCCGACUCCUACGGGAGGCAGCAGUAAGGAAUAUUGGUCAAUGCCCGGAAGGGUGAACCAGCCAUCCCGCGUGAAGGAUGAAGGGGCUCUGCCUUGUAAACUUCUUUUGUAUGGGGCGAAAAAGGGGAUUAUCCUCGACUGACGGUACCAUAAGAAUAAGCACCGGCUAACUCCGUGCCAGCAGCCGCGGUAAU